rnacentral:rRNA from 1 species
AUUGAACGCUGGCGGCAGGCCUAACACAUGCAAGUCGAGCGGAUGAAGGGAGCUUGCUCCUGGAUUCAGCGGCGGACGGGUGAGUAAUGCCUAGGAAUCUGCCUGGUAGUGGGGGAUAACGUCCGGAAACGGGCGCUAAUACCGCAUACGUCCUGAGGGGGAAAGUGGGGGAUCUUCGGACCUCACGCUAUCAGAUGAGCCUAGGUCGGAUUAGCUAGUUGGUGGGGUAAAGGCCUACCAAGGCGACGAUCCGUAACUGGUCUGAGAGGAUGAUCAGUCACAGUGGAGGGGAAGCACGGACCAGGCUCCUACGGGAGGAAGCAGGGGGGAAUAUGGGACAAGGGGCGAAAGCCGAAUCGCGCAAGGCGGGGUGUGGGAAGAAGGUCUUGGGAUGGUAAAGAACUUUAGGUUGGGGGGAGGGAAAUGAAGUUAAUCCCUUGCUUUUUUGACUUUACCAAAAAAAUAAGCCCCGGCUAACUUCGUG